UCCAGGGUAGCCUAGUGGUCAUGGCAUCUGCCCGGUAAGCGGAAGGUCGUGGGUUCGAUUCCGAUCCCACACAGUGAA